AGAAGAAAAAAAAAUCAUUUGGAACAACUUGAGGUUACCCUCUAAUUCACCUGUUUGGGGCCACUUGGAAACAGAUGCUGAAGACCUAAACAACCACAUUUCCUUGUAUGGUAAAGCCAGUGGGAAGAUGUUCCAGUUACCUGCAGUAAGGACUGUCCAUCUGUUUUCAGCAUCCUCCUGGGAUUGCUGACACAUUUCUCAAGAGGAUACCACCCGCAAAUCUGGUCAGGGGACUACAAAUGAAGUAUGUCAGGUGAAGUGCCCUGCAGAGUGUGCAGGGAGAAGUGAACACUGCUUAGGAACCUGUGAAUCAGAUCUCAGUUUACAUCUGUUUGGAUCCAGCUGUACAGUCACCUGACCAGCCUUGUCAUCCACCCACACGGUCAGUCCAGCAAAGUAUGUGCUUUGCUCACCAUAAUCCCUUAAUCCAGCCACCGCUAGACCACGGCGAGAGAGAGACAGGAUAAUUGCAUGAGACACAAGCCUAGGUGCGGGAGAGAUGGAGAGAGAUGAGACGAGGAUUAAACGGCUCACCUUUAUCUUUGUGAAUCAUUUGUUUACUAAAGUUAAAUACACAAUGAAAAGAAGUCAGAGAGUGCGUAAAACAGAUCCACUGCUCUCCUUUCGUAAACCUGAGGCUAUGUGUAAUAAUUCAACCAUUUUAUUUCCCAAAUAUAUGAACCAUUUUUAAUAUGCAUGCUGCUGGGGGUGAGAAAUAUUGAUUUAUUGUUUUUCACAACAGACAAACACACAAUGAAUUAUGAAUGAAUUGUUUUCUAUAUAGUGUAUACUGCAGAUUUACCGAGGACUUCUUUGUGUAACCUCGUGGCAUUGACCUCAGUGUUUUAUUCACUUGCUGUACAUUAAAGCAAUGUUUAUACAAUGCAUCCUAACCUGUGAAAGUUUAAAAGUUUUCUAAGCUGUGGACACAGGCAACGACGCGCUCGUGAGAAAACAGCUUUGUGUAUGACAGGGCUGGAGAUGAGGGAUAAAGCGGGAGAGAGAGACAGAAAGAGAUCAAAGCACACGAGAGCUUGUCUAGCGAUGUAUUACGGCCUUCAUUCCCCGCUCGAAAAUGUUGGGUUGCCAUGGAAACGCCUGUUGAACGAGGCUGCUAUGAAUCUUUCAGUAACUCCUC